UCUCAAUUACCCGCACCUGCAUCUCAUCAGCCAUCUGCACACCUGGUCCUGAUCAUCACCUCUUCUCUUCAUAAGCUCUGACCUGACAUCCAUUCCCCGCUGGAUCGUUAGCAAUGAACAUCAUUCUCCCGGAACAUUCACCCACCCGCCUGGUCGUCGGUGGCUUCUGUGACAUCAUUGGAUCUGCCUAUUCACUCUCAUCAACUCACCUCUGCUGCCGCUCCGUCUCCUGGAUUAUUCUGUUUUCACCUUGACUCUUUCGUCUUGUCAAGCCUACCAGCGUGUUUUUAUUCAUGCUCCUAGUCGCUGUUUCUUAGCCC
rnacentral:lncRNA from 1 species